AAAGUGGGACUCUUUUGGCUGUUUUUGAAUUCACUUAUUAAUGAGAGAGACAGAUAGAGAGAGAAAGAGAGCUUCUGGAGGCUGCUGAAUUAUGGGCUGGAAAGUAAAAAAAGAUGAAAAAGUUGUUAAGUUCAUUUUGCCUGGACUUGCUCUGGUUGAACCAAAAAAUGCCACCACAUGCACACUCUUUGGAUCAUUGAGAAGACAAUGAGCCAUAUCAUCAAGAUACAAGAUAUAUACAUAUAUACACACACAAAAUCAUAAGAUAAUUAUAGAUUUCUCGCGUUAUCUGACAAAA
rnacentral:lncRNA from 1 species